CACGUAGGGCGCAAGCGUUGUCCGGAAUUAUUGGGCGUAAAGAGCUCGUAGGCGGUCUGCCACGUCCGCUGUGAAAACCUAGGGCUUAACCCUGGGCUUGCAGUAGAUACGGGCAGACUAGAGGUAGGUAGGGGAGAAUGGAAUUCCCGGUGUAGCGGUGAAAUGCGCAGAUAUCAGGAGGAACACCAAUAGCGAAGGCAGCUCGCUGGGACGGUACUGACGCUAAGGCGCGAAAGCGUGGGGAGCGAACAGG
rnacentral:rRNA from 1 species